rnacentral:tRNA from 1 species
AAACUUAGGAUAAUAUCCCUCAAACCGAAG